rnacentral:rRNA from 1 species
GACGGAGGAUGCAAGUGUUAUCCGGAAUCACUGGGCGUAAAGCGUCUGUAGGUGGUUUAAUAAGUCAACUGUUAAAUCUUGAGGCUCAACCUCAAAAUCGCAGUCGAAACUAUUAGGCUAGAGUAUAGUAGGGGUAAAGGGAAUUUCCAGUGGAGCGGUGAAAUGCGUAGAGAUUAGGAAGAACACCAGUGGCGAAGGCGGCUCACUGGGCUGACCUUGACGCUGAGGCGCGAAGGCGUGGGGAGCGAACGGG